GCAGCCGAACACCGAGGGCAUCGAGUCGAACUGGCGCCCUCCGGGGGGUGGCAGUGUGGAACUUGUACCAGCCUCUGUAUCUACCCGUAUGAUCGGCAUCAUCCGCGUUCAACUGUAGGAUACCCCUGCACGCCACUCCCACCCAGGCUUUCUCCACCCUGGGGGGCUUCACCAAGGUCUCCGGUCUGUUAACAAGAAAUUUAGGACGGGGGAAGGGGAGUCCCAAGCCCUCUUGCUUUCAGGCUAGUACAGCCCCAACGCCCAGGAGAGCCCCUGCAGCUGCCCAGUAUCCAGAAGGAGUGCUGCCAUUAGAAAAGUGAGGUGUGCGCCUUUGGAGAUGAGAGGAAUUGCUGGUAAAGAAGACGUGGGGAUACAGUUUUGGGACAACGAACCUGUAAAGAGGGGAGAUUAUUAGUAAUACUCCCUUACCAUGCCUCAAAACGAAGGAGCUUCAUGCAAGGAUUUGUCAGGUUGAUGCCCUCCAUACCUAUUCAAAGAUGAAGGUACAAGAUGUCCUGGGCUAAGUGAUAAAGGAAACUACAUGCCCCGGUCUUUUAAUUUCCUAAGCUAAAACUUGUUCUUUCCCAGGAGCAGGUAGUAUUAGAAGUAUGCAGCUUCCCUCCUCUGAUUUAUAAUCUCUCCUAGUUAUUAAAGGCAGCUAAUUUCCCCAGGCAGAUAAGAUAAUACAUCAUAAAAUACUGAAACAAGAGGAAAUACAGAAGUGAGAAACUGUUCUAGGCAUACCUGGCAUAACUGUCAAACCUGGAAACUCGAAGACCAGAGACAGCAACUCUUUGUAGCAACAGCAUUAUAGACCCCGGGUUUCUAGGGGAGAAGGAGAAGGAAAAAAGAAUUACCUAGGAGUAAGGGCAGGAGAGACUUUCAGAAGCAAGACUAGAGAUAAGAGGGGUGAUGAAAGGAACUACUACCAAAUUUCAUUAAGAAAAAGAUAACUGAGUCCAACCACAGUCAUCAGAGAGACCGACUGUACUAAACAUUGUCUUCUUUCUUUCAACCUCCCUCUGGUCUAAGUGCCCACACUGUACACUUAUGCUAUUACCAGAAAGCAAGUUUUGCUUUGUUUUAAUUGGGGAGCAAGUUUAAAUAGGGAGAAAUAAGAUAAAGCAGACCCCUCAUUCUCCACUCAAAAUACAUUAACUGAAAAUCAAUAUUCCUGAGUCCCCACCCCAUCCUAGCCAUUCAAUUCUUCCUGAGCUCGGCAAACUUAAGGGGUUAUUGUCCCAAGUGUCACUGAAGAGACUGACUUCCUUUCUAGAAUAGGGAACAAGGGAACUUCACAAUUCUCACCUCAACCGUUGUCUCCUAAUCCUUUAGAUAGAAUCAAAGGAGAAGAGCAAUAGACGAGGAAGAUAUGGGCCCACCUGGAGUGUUCCGUGCCUUUUGAAGGAGAGGAAAGUUGGAGUUAAACAACUGGGGGAAUCAGUCCAAGAAACCCGAAAAAGUUACGAGGGAUACCAGGGAAAAGAAAUCAGGCGGGGAGAUUUGUGACGCUGGAAAAGUAGAGGAAUGUAAUUCUAGUUCUUAGCACCCGACUCUCAGCACCCUUUACAUCACAUAUGUGGCCCUUUGGGAGGAGCAACUACUUUUUCUAAAGCAGAGCAGGAGCAGGAGGUGGCUCUUAGAAUAGGGGGACAGCUGCCCUGGCCCAAGGUCCCGGGAGAACUGCAAUCAAUGGGUCAACAAGCAGUUGGGGAAUCUUGUCUUAAGACAUUCCCACAUCGCCCCCCAGUGACAGGAUGAUCCAACUACAACAUGACAAGUCAGACUGCUUCAGUCAUGCUCCUCUCUCUACAGAAAAUGCCGGGUUGGUGAAUAAAAGUGAUAGUAAUGUGAAUGGUGAAUUAGAGGGUCCUGGAAGUACUGAUUACAAUAUUAAAGGCCUGGUGCACGUGAAACCAAUUUAGAGAGUAUAAUAAAAAGCUGACGUAGUAGCAAACUAGACUUGGGCACUAACUAGUGGUCCAAGAGGCCCGAUCCCCACCUAUCUUACUGGUAUUCUUUUGAGAGCAGUGCAGAGGAAUGCAUAAGGAGAAAAAUCUGCUCCUGCUCUUCUACUUUCUAUUCCUUGGACAUGUGGAAAUCCUGCUUUCUACUUUUGGUACAGGAAAGGGAAAUUUAGAAAAGAGAAUAUCAGGAGACAACUAGUCCAUGAAUUUGGAUGGGAAAAUUUUUACCUUAUUUUCACCAAAUUUUAACUGAAGUUUAUUAUUUCCCUCAA